CCUUUGGUUAUUUUGUGGUGAC
rnacentral:siRNA from 1 species